GACGAACGCUGGCGGCGUGCUUAACACAUGCAAGUCGAACGGAAAGGCCCUGCUUUCGUGGGGUGCUCGAGUGGCGAACGGGUGCGUAACACGUGAGUAACCUGCCCUUGACUUUGGGAUAACUUCAGGAAACUGGGGCUAAUACCGGAUAGGAGCUCCUGCUGCAGGGAGGGGGUUGGAAAGUUUCGGCGGUUGGGGAUGGACUCGCGGCUUAUCAGCUUGUUGGUGGGGUAGUGGCUUACCAAGGCUUUGACGGGUCGCCGGCCUGAGAGGGUGACCGGCCACAUUGGGACUGAGAUACGGCCCAGACUCCUACGGGAGGCAGCAGUGGGGAAUAUUGCACAAUGGGCGGAAGCCUGAUGCAGCAACGCCGCGUGCGGGAUGACGGCCUUCGGGUUGUGAACCGCUUUCGCCUGUGACGAAGCGUUAGUGACGGUAAUGGGUAAAGAAGCACCGGCUAACUACGUG
rnacentral:rRNA from 1 species